rnacentral:rRNA from 1 species
AUGUCGAAAGCCACCGCCGCGCCGUUAUCGAACGACACCAUCUUCGACAUCCUCUCUAGGACGCCGGUUAGGUCCGUCUGCCAGUUCCGAUGCGUCUCAAGGGGGUGGCACGACCUUAUCUCCGGCCCGGACUUCGCCGCCGCGCAGAGGUCCCGCCACGGCCCGCUCCUCGUCGACACCGGCUACUUUCGGCAAGAAACACCCGCCGGCCAUCAUAUGCGCCUCAUGGACAUGGAAGGCAACGUCAUCAGAGUCAUCAGGGUCAUCGGAGGUUUUGGGAUCACGUGCUCGUCGAGCCUCGACAACCUCAUCGCCGUCAGCCGCGGUCCGUCAAACGACAGCGAUGUAGUAGAUCCGGCCAUCGGGGAGGUUCUCCUGACCUGCCCAGGAAUGGAGGCGAGGACGCUUGAUGUGCAUCCAUUCAUCGCCAUGGCUCACUAUGAAGAGUUUGGCUUCGUCCGUGCCAUUUCGUCUGAUGAAUAAAAGAUGGUCCGCAUUGCCGACGACAAAACAACUUGUGAGGUCCUCACUUUAGGAGACGAACAGCAGCCUGGAGGCGGACGCAGUCGCCUCCCAUCACUCUACCCCCGGUCGCUGUCAAUGGCAUUAUGUACUUCUUGGCAGAUGAGAAGCGUGAAACCUUGUUGUGCUUCGACAUCGAGAGCGAGCAAUGGAAGGCCAACAUGA